AGUAACGCGUAUGCAACCUACCUUUAACUGGGGAAUAGCCCAGGGAAACUUGGAUUAAUACCCCAUAGUUUUACACUUUCGCAUGUUAGUGUAAAUAAAGUUCCGGCGGUUAAAGAUGGGCAUGCGUGCCAUUAGAUAGUUGGUGAGGUAACGGCUCACCAAGUCAGCGAUGGCUACGGGGUCUUAAAGGAUGGUCCCGCACACUGGUACUGAGACACGGACCAGACUCC
rnacentral:rRNA from 1 species